GUGAGUUGGGGGAGUGGUUUAACCCAGCACCCUGCUAAGGUGUCGGCCUCGCAAGAGGCCCGUGGGUUCAAAUCCCACACUCACCGC
rnacentral:tRNA from 1 species